GAGUUGUAAUUUGAAGAAGGUAACUUUGGAGUUGGCUCUUGUCUAUGUUCCUUGGAACAGGACGUCACAGAGGGUGAGAAUCCCGUGCGAUGAGAUGCCCAAUUCUAUGUAUUUGUGAGGACGAAGAGUCGAGUUGUUUGGGAAUGCAGCUCUAAGUGGGUGGUAAAUUCCAUCUAAAGCUAAAUAUUGGCGAGAGACCGAUAGCGAACAAGUACAGUGAUGGAAAGAUGAAAAGAACUUUGAAAAGAGAGUGAAAAAGUACGUGAAAUUGUUGAAAGGGAAGGGCUUGAGAUCAGACUUGGUAUUUUGCGAUCCUUUCCUUCUUGGUUGGGUUCCUCGCAGCUUACUGGGCCAGCAUCGGUUUGGAUGGUAGGAUAAUGACUAAGGAAUGUGGCUCUACUUCGGUGGAGUGUUAUAGCCUUGGUUGAUACUGCCUGUCUAGACCGAGGACUGCGUCUUUUGACUAGGAUGUUGGCAUAAUGAUCUUAAGCCACCCGUCUUGAAACACGGACCAAGGAGUCUAACGUCUAUGCGAGUGUUUGGGUGUAAAACCCGUACGCGUAAUGAAAGUGAACGUAGGUGAGAGCUCUUAAGAGUGCAUCAUCGACCGAUCCUGAUGUCUUCGGAUGGAUUUGAGUAAGAGCAUAGCUGUUGGGACCCGAAAGAUGGUGAACUAUGCCUGA
rnacentral:rRNA from 1 species